rnacentral:tRNA from 1 species
GCGCCCGUAGCUCAGUUGGAUAGAGCGUCUGCCUUCUAAAUGGACGCAAAAUCAAUCGAAGUCGCUUCGGUUGCG